GAGGAGCGAUGUGUGCAGAGGUGUGGAGAGCUGUUUCCCAUGCAGGGAGGGCUGGAACUCACAGCUACGUCCACGCCACCAGGCCCAGGUGGGCAGGCCAGCUGCUCAUGCCAAGGGCCAGAGAACCGAUGAAGACAGUGGCCUGAUGGCAGCACGGAACACACACAGGAACACAAGGCCAGCGAGUCCACAUGCCACAGCCAUGACUGCGACCACCGCAACGCCACAUGUACAGGCAGUCCAAGUCUUCACGGCUCAAACAACACAGCGCUGCUGGUAAUUCUGCUAUCAAAAUUAUUUAAUAAUAAACACAAGAAAGCAGAGAAAUCCGUCCUGUGGCUUGCUUGCCCUCCUGACCGCACUCAAACCCUAAACAGCCUCCUGGCCACCCGGCCAGAUGAAAGGGCAGGAAGCCAAGGCUGGUGCUCAGGCCCACAUCUGGUGACCUUUCUCAGCUCAGCAACAGCAAACAGACCAGUGCUGCUGGAGAACAAGCCAAGGACGGCCCGAGGCUGCACAUUCCAGUGUCCCCCUGCAGCCUGGCACUACACACGCAGCUGGACCCGGCAGCCAUGUCACAGGCCAAGUCACCCACAUCAGGACAAACAGCCCCAGCACCAGAAGCUGAAAACUGAAGUGAAGAAAGUGACCAAUGGUAGCUGGGGAUGGUGGAGCGUACCUGCAAUCCCCACACUCAGGAUGAAGCAGGAGGGUCACAGAACACCUCCACCACGCAUGCUUCAGCCCUCAUUGUGUGCAGCACCGGUGUCACCUGGAGGAAGACCCUGCCCUUGCACCUUUGCCCACCUGCUUGCAGAGAACUCAAGUCCUGUCAGAGGCAGCCACUCACAGCAUGCAGGGGCCAGGGGGACAGAGUGGGGCCUCCACAGCUGGGCUUCUGGAAGUCAGACCCCUGCAUCUCUGCUGGCUCUGCUCCUGCCCCUCCUCCUCACCUCUGCCCACACUCAAUCCCUCAAGGGCUUUCUAGCUCUCUAGCCAGGUCAGGCUCUGUGAGGAUGUGGCCUGGGGCACCUAGCCCAAGCCUAGCCCAAGGGACCAAGACCCAUCAGCCAAUCCAGAGAAGAAGCAGGGUACCUGAGUCCACACCCAGACUCAAACUUUCUACCUCCAAGUUGGGUGUGGCGGUGCACACCUGUAAUCCCAGCACUCUGGGAGGCUGAGGCAGAGGGAUUGUAAAUUUGACCCCACCCUGGGCUACUUAGCAAGGCUCUGUCUCAAAAUAAAAGAUUUUUAAAAAGGUCUGGGAAAAAAAAAUUUAAAAAUAAAAAAUUAAAAAAAGGUCUGGGGAUGCAGCUCAGUGCAAGGCCCUCGGUUCAAUCCCCAGUGCUGCUCCCCCCAACCAGCUUCUACUCCAGGCAGAUACUGCAUGCCACCACCCUCAGGCCAAGAGCUGCACUGUAACAGCCUCCCCUAGGGCUAGCCUGACCUCACUGUCCUCAGCCCCCAUCCUCGCCUCCCACAGGACCGGUGACCUCACACUGGCUCUCACUCCCAGAGCAGAAGGCACCUGCCUGGUCAGGACUCCAGAACUCAGACUGCCCUGUAAGAAUGCACCAGCGCCCGCUGGCAAC
rnacentral:lncRNA from 1 species